AGCAAUAUGUCAGCGGCAGACGGGUGAGUAACGCGUGGGAAUCUACCCAACCCUAUGGAAUAACGCAUGGAAACGUGUGCUAAUACCAUAUGCGCCCCCCUUUAAAAUUCCAGGAAGAGUAAAAUGCCUUGGCAUUUUAUGGGGGGGAAAGAUUUAUCGGGGAUGGAUGAGCCCGCGUUGGAUUAGCUAGUUGGUGGGGUAAAGGCCUACCAAGGCGACGAUCCAUAGCUGGUCUGAGAGGAUGAUCAGCCACAUUGGGACUGAGACACGGCCCAAACUCCUACGGGAGGCAGCAGUGGGGAAUAUUGGACAAUGGGCGCAAGCCUGAUCCAGCCAUGCCGCGUGAGUGAUGAAGGCCCUAGGGUUGUAAAGCUCUUUCACCGGAGAAGAUAAUGACGGUAUCCGGAGAAGAAGCCCCGGCUAACUUCGUGCCAGCCGCCGCCGUAA
rnacentral:rRNA from 1 species